CGGGUGGUUUCGGGGGUGGCCCGAGCCCGCCGAGCUGCCCGGGGGCGGCCGGCCGGCGGGGCCCUCGCCUCGGGGUGCCCGGUGGCGAACGGUCCCGGCGCUUUGGUACCACCAAAAAAAGGUAUAAUUACGCUACCGGGUAUAAAUUGACUCUGUGUACCACUGAAUCAUACUGAAUAUUUGUAAUGUGUUCCUUCCCUAAUAGAUGCUCUCUAUGAAUAGAGAGAGCGCCUAUUUACUCUGAAAUAUUUGGCACAGCGGCCGGAGUCUGAAGCGUGGAAGAAGUGGCUAUUAUUUUCCCACUGCGUGUGUGCAGCUGUCAUUUCUGAGCAACACGUUCCUCGCAUAUCCCUGCUUCCCAACCUUGCUGAUGGUCCACCCCAGGAUCGCAACAAGAAGAGGCUGGCAUGCCACCGCACUCAGCCAAAACCUUAACGCUGUGGCAUAGAAAGUGCUCUGAAGUAGACUACUUGCUGGACUUCUACUCAUCCUUUUCUGGAGGGAUGCGUGAGCUCGUGAAUCAACAAAGGCGAAGCAAAAUAGAAAACUACAUUUCGCAGGAGCUGUCAAGCAAGUUAUCCACGUUGUGCCAUUUGUAUUGCUUUGUUAGAGUGAGGCACGCGGUGCGAGCCUUCCACUUUGGAGCUGUGACAGUUCAUAUCAGCUAAUCUUGCCAAUGAGAGGCAUUGGCUCUUCUCCAAAGUGAACCAGAAUAAGAAGGCUGGGUGGUUCAAUGGAUGGCAUAGGGUCUAUGGAAAUGUUCGUUGCUGAACUGGUGGACCUAGUCCAAGUUCCUCGAGAUACUCGGUCAGAUUCUCUGCUAGCGUCAGUUGGGCAGAUUCACUGAAUGCACUGUUGGCCAUCAAAAUACUUGGACUUGAGAAGCCCAAGUCCGUUGAGCUAAAGCUACUCAGCACUAUGAGCAAAGCCAAACCAUCAGAUAUGAUUCCCAUUAGCAGAUCUGAGUUCUGUUGUUUUCCAUAAUUGUCAUUAU
rnacentral:lncRNA from 1 species